rnacentral:lncRNA from 1 species
UCAUUUUAGAGACUGUUUGUGACAGACCCCGGAGAUAAAAAGAUGGACAAGAACAGCAUAGUAUCUGCCUUCUCAAAACUCCUACUGAUAGGAAAAUCCGAUCCUGAAAACAAUGGCAUGAUCACUCCAUGAGGCAGGCCAUCUGAUAGAGAAGAUAUACAUGUACAAGGAAGGAGCAGGCAACGUUGGACUGAACCUCUUGUGCCCCACCUCAGAACUCUGUUCUCAGCAGCUGAGCUUUAUUGAGAUGUACAGAGAAGGCAAUGGCACCCCACUCCAGCACUCUUGCCUGGAAAAUCCCACGGACGGAGGAGCCUGGAAGCCUGCAGUCCAUGGGGUCGCUAAGAGUCAGACACGACUGAGCAGCUUCACUUUCACUUUUCACUUUCAUGCAUUGGAGAAGGAAAUGACAACCCACUCCAGUGUUCUUGCCUGGAGAAUCCCAGGGACGGGGGAGCAUGGUGGGCUGCCGUCUAUGGAGUCGCACAGAGUCAGACGCAACUGUAGCGACUUAGCAGCAUUGAGAUGUAAUUGACAUAAAAUGAGCUGCAUGUUUUUUCCCCUGAGUUUUAUUUAGAUGCAAUUGACAUGUAACAUUGUAUAACUUUAAUGUGUACAAAAUAAUAAUUUAAUAUACCUAUAAGUUAUAAAAUGAUGAUCAUACUGUUUGGUUAAUAUCCAUCACCUCAGAUAAUCACAAUUUUUUCUUGUGAUAACUUUAAGACUGACUACUAUCUUAGCAACUUUUGAAUGCACAAUACAGUUUUGUUAUCUUUAGUCACCAGGCUGUGCAUUAAAGCCUGAGAACAUAUUUAUAUUUUAACUAGAAAUUUAUAUAUUUUGACCACCUUCACUCAUUACCCCCCCACCCCAACUUUUAGCAGCCACCAAUCUGUUCUCUUUUUCUAUGAGUUUGAUUUUUUUAUUGAUACCACAUGUGAAAUCAUAUAAUAUUUACCUUUAAUUGUCUAUUUUAUUUCACUUAGCAUAAUGUUCUCAGUUCAUGUUGUCACAAAUGACAAGAUUUCCUUCUUGCUGAAGAAUAUUUGAUUAUAUAGGUGGCUCAGAUGGUAAAGAAUCUGCCUGCAAUGCAGAAUACCAUGUUUGAUACCUAGGUUGGGAAGAUUUCCUAGAGAAGAAAAUGGCAACCCAUGCCAGUAUUCUUGCCUGGAGAAUCCCAUGGACAGAGGAGCCUGGUGGGCUACAGUCCAUGGGAUCACAAAGAGUUGGACGUGACUGAAUGACUGACACAUAAUGGCUAAAUAAUAUUUCAUUAUAUAUGUAGACCAUAUUUUCUUUAUCCAUUUAUCCAUUGAUGGACACUUAAGUUGUUUCCAUGUAUUAGCUAUUGUAAAUAAUGCUGCUGUGAACAUGGGGAAGUAGAUAUCUCUUUAUUUAUAGUGACUUUAUUUCUCUGGAUAUAUAUCCAGAAGUAGAAUUGUUGGAUCAUACAGUAGUUCUAUUACUUUUUUUGAGGCCCCUCCAUACUUUUUUCCAUAGUGGUUGCACCAAUUUACUUUAGCACCAGCAUGUACAGGGAUUCCCUCUUCCCCACAUCCUCACCAACAUUUGUUAUUUGCAGACUUUUUGAUGAUAGCCAUUCUGACAGGUGUGAAGUGAUGUCUCAUUGUGGUUAUGAUUUGCAUUUCUCUGAUGAAGAGCAAUACUGAAUAUCUUUUCAUGUGCCUGUUGGCCAUCUGUAUGUCUUCUUUGGAAAAAUAUCUAUUCAGUCCUUCAGAAAAACUUUCAGCUGUCUUGUAUGAGAUGUAUUGUCACAGUUUUUAAUUUUUAUGCAAGAGAUUGAUAUAAAAUGGCAUUGCAUUUUGGUCUUGAUUUGUGUUUCACUGACUUUCAGAAUGACCAAACUAUUAAACAUAUUAUCUUCUUCUUAAAUAUGACUUAUCUCUCCAAUUAUUUUGAAUAGAUCUUAAUAUAUUUUAUUAUUUUAUUUGUAGAAGCACAUUUGUAUUUUAUUUCAAAACACUUGUUAGAUUCUUAGAUAUUUGUUAUCCUUGAAUGCUGUUGUACAUAGAUAUAAUUUCUUUAACCAUAUUUUCCAUUUGCUUGUUCCUGUUAUAUAUGUUAUACAUAUAAAAUACAUAUGACAUAUGUAAUGCAUAUUGAUAUAUAAGAUAUAAAAAUUAGAUAUAAAUAUUUAUAAUUUGUAUAAAAUAUAAUUGAUAGGAAGUGUUUAAGAAACUGUAAUUUUUAAAAUUUUAUGUAUGUUUUAUAUCCAUUUCCUCAUAGAUAAAGC